AAAUUGAAGAGUUUGAUCAUGGCUCAGAUUGAACGCUGGCGGCAGGCCUAACACAUGCAAGUCGAGCGGAAACGAGUUGUCAGAACCUUCGGGGGACGAUAACGGCGUCGAGCGGCGGACGGGUGAGUAAUGCCUAGGAAAUUGCCCUGAUGUGGGGGAUAACCAUUGGAAACGAUGGCUAAUACCGCAUGAUGCCUACGGGCCAAAGAGGGGGACCUUCGGGCCUCUCGCGUCAGGAUAUGCCUAGGUGGGAUUAGCUAGUUGGUGAGGUAAGGGCUCACCAAGGCGACGAUCCCUAGCUGGUCUGAGAGGAUGAUCAGCCACACUGGAACUGAGACACGGUCCAGACUCCUACGGGAGGCAGCAGUGGGGAAUAUUGCACAAUGGGCGCAAGCCUGAUGCAGCCAUGCCGCGUGUGUGAAGAAGGCCUUCGGGUUGUAAAGCACUUUCAGUCGUGAGGAAGGCGGUGUAGUUAAUAGCUGCAUC
rnacentral:rRNA from 1 species